CGCGCCGGUGGAUGAGCCUACGUCGGAUUAGCUAGUUGGUAGGGUAAGAGCCUACCAAGGCGACGAUCCGUAGCUGGUCUGAGAGGAUGAUCAGCCACACUGGGACUGAGACACGGCCCAGACUCCUACGGGAGGCAGCAGUGGGGAAUAUUGGACAAUGGGCGCAAGCCUGAUCCAGCAAUGCCGCGUGUGUGAAGAAGGCCUGCGGGUUGUAAAGCACUUUAAGCAGGGAGGAGGGGUACUGGCGUGAAUAGCGUUGGUAUCUGACGUUACCUGCAGAAUAAGCACCGGCUAACUUCGUGCCAGCAGCCGCGGUAAUACGAAGGGUGCAAGCGUUAAUCGGAAUACUGGGCGUAAAGCGCGUGUAGGCGGUUAUUUAAGUCAGAUGUGAAAGCCCCCGGGCUCAACCUGGGAAUGGCAUUUGAUAC
rnacentral:rRNA from 1 species